UUAAGUUAUUAAGGGCGCACGGUGGAUGCCUUGGCACUAGAAGCCGAUGAAGGACGUUACUAACGACGAUAUGCUUUGGGGAGCUGUAAGUAAGCUUUGAUCCAGAGAUUUCCGAAUGGGGAAACCCAGCAUGAGUUAUGUCAUGUUAUCGAUAUGUGAAUACAUAGCAUAUCAGAAGGCACACCCGGAGAACUGAAACAUCUUAGUACCCGGAGGAAGAGAAAGAAAAUUCGAUUCCCUUAGUAGCGGCGAGCGAAACGGGAAGAGCCCAAACCAACAAGCUUGCUUGUUGGGGUUGUAGGACACUCUAUACGGAGUUACAAAGGACGACAUUAGACGAAUCAUCUGGAAAGAUGAAUCAAAGAAGGUAAUAAUCCUGUAGUCGAAAAUGUUGUCUCUCUUGAGUGGAUCCUGAGUACGACGGAGCACGUGAAAUUCCGUCGGAAUCUGGGAGGACCAUCUCCUAAGGCUAAAUACUCUCUAGUGACCGAUAGUGAACCAGUACCGUGAGGGAAAGGUGAAAAGCACCCCGGAAGGGGAGUGAAAUAGAACCUGAAACCGUGUGCUUACAAGUAGUCAGAGCCCGUUAAUGGGUGAUGGCGUGCCUUUUGUAGAAUGAACCGGCGAGUUACGAUUUGAUGCAAGGUUAAGCAGUAAAUGUGGAGCCGUAGCGAAAGCGAGUCUGAAUAGGGCGUUUAGUAUUUGGUCGUAGACCCGAAACCAGGUGAUCUACCCUUGGUCAGGUUGAAGUUCAGGUAACACUGAAUGGAGGACCGAACCGACUUACGUUGAAAAGUGAGCGGAUGAACUGAGGGUAGCGGAGAAAUUCCAAUCGAACCUGGAGAUAGCUGGUUCUCUCCGAAAUAGCUUUAGGGCUAGCCUCAAGGGAUGAUUAUUGGAGGUAGAGCACUGUUUGGACGAGGGGCCCCUCUCGGGUUACCGAAUUCAGACAAACUCCGAAUGCCAAUUAAUUUAACUUGGGAGUCAGAACAUGGGUGAUAAGGUCCGUGUUCGAAAGGGAAACAGCCCAGACCACCAGCUAAGGUCCCAAAAUAUAUGUUAAGUGGAAAAGGAUGUGGCGUUGCCCAGACAACUAGGAUGUUGGCUUAGAAGCAGCCAUCAUUUAAAGAGUGCGUAAUAGCUCACUAGUCGAGUGACACUGCGCCGAAAAUGUACCGGGGCUAAACAUAUUACCGAAGCUGUGGAUUGUCCUUUGGACAAUGGUAGGAGAGCGUUCUAAGGGCGUUGAAGCAUGAUCGUAAGGACAUGUGGAGCGCUUAGAAGUGAGAAUGCCGGUGUGAGUAGCGAAAGACGGGUGAGAAUCCCGUCCACCGAUUGACUAAGGUUUCCAGAGGAAGGCUCGUCCGCUCUGGGUUAGUCGGGUCCUAAGCUGAGGCCGACAGGCGUAGGCGAUGGAUAACAGGUUGAUAUUCCUGUACCACCUAUAAUCGUUUUAAUCGAUGGGGGGACGCAGUAGGAUAGGCGAAGCGUGCGAUUGGAUUGCACGUCUAAGCAGUAAGGCUGAGUAUUAGGCAAAUCCGGUACUCGUUAAGGCUGAGCUGUGAUGGGGAGAAGACAUUGUGUCUUCGAGUCGUUGAUUUCACACUGCCGAGAAAAGCCUCUAGAUAGAAAAUAGGUGCCCGUACCGCAAACCGACACAGGUAGUCAAGAUGAGAAUUCUAAGGUGAGCGAGCGAACUCUCGUUAAGGAACUCGGCAAAAUGACCCCGUAACUUCGGGAGAAGGGGUGCUCUUUAGGGUUAACGCCCAGAAGAGCCGCAGUGAAUAGGCCCAAGCGACUGUUUAUCAAAAACACAGGUCUCUGCUAAACCGUAAGGUGAUGUAUAGGGGCUGACGCCUGCCCGGUGCUGGAAGGUUAAGAGGAGUGGUUAGCUUCUGCGAAGCUACGAAUCGAAGCCCCAGUAAACGGCGGCCGUAACUAUAACGGUCCUAAGGUAGCGAAAUUCCUUGUCGGGUAAGUUCCGACCCGCACGAAAGGCGUAACGAUUUGGGCACUGUCUCAACGAGAGACUCGGUGAAAUCAUAGUACCUGUGAAGAUGCAGGUUACCCGCGACAGGACGGAAAGACCCCGUGGAGCUUUACUGUAGCCUGAUAUUGAAAUUCGGCACAGCUUGUACAGGAUAGGUAGGAGCCUUUGAAACGUGAGCGCUAGCUUACGUGGAGGCGCUGGUGGGAUACUACCCUAGCUGUGUUGGCUUUCUAGCCCGCACCACUUAUCGUGGUGGGAGACAGUGUCAGGCGGGCAGUUUGACUGGGGCGGUCGCCUCCUAAAAGGUAACGGAGGCGCUCAAAGGUUCCCUCAGAAUGGUUGGAAAUCAUUCAUAGAGUGUAAAGGCAUAAGGGAGCUUGACUGCGAGACCUACAAGUCGAGCAGGGUCGAAAGACGGACUUAGUGAUCCGGUGGUUCCGCAUGGAAGGGCCAUCGCUCAACGGAUAAAAGCUACCCCGGGGAUAACAGGCUUAUCUCCCCCAAGAGUUCACAUCGACGGGGAGGUUUGGCACCUCGAUGUCGGCUCAUCGCAUCCUGGGGCUGUAGUCGGUCCCAAGGGUUGGGCUGUUCGCCCAUUAAAGCGGUACGCGAGCUGGGUUCAGAACGUCGUGAGACAGUUCGGUCCCUAUCCGUCGUGGGCGUAGGAAAUUUGAGAGGAGCUGUCCUUAGUACGAGAGGACCGGGAUGGACAUACCUCUGGUGUACCAGUUGUCGUGCCAACGGCAUAGCUGGGUAGCUAUGUGUGGACGGGAUAAGUGCUGAAAGCAUCUAAGCAUGAAGCCCCCCUCAAGAUGAGAUUUCCCAACUUCGGUUAUAAGAUCCCUCAAAGAUGAUGAGGUUAAUAGGUUCGAGGUGGAAGCAUGGUGACAUGUGGAGCUGACGAAUACUAAUCGAUCGAAGACUUAAUCAA
rnacentral:rRNA from 1 species